rnacentral:misc_RNA from 1 species
AUAAUCAUUGAUUAGAAGCACGAAUGUCAAGUCAAUAACUAGUUGCUAGUAGUGCAUAGAAGACCUAACAACCUAAUCCCAAAGACAAUGAGCAUUCAGAAAAAACUCAGCUUUUUAACGACUGUCAUAGAAUUUUUACAAUUUAGUCGUGCUUUUUUCCUGCUUCUCUGAAACAGGUACCCAAAUAAAGACGACAAAUACUUCUCACGCCAUUAAUAAAGGUAUUUGAAAGUGUAAUUCGCUAGCUGGGUAAAACAUGAUUUGGAUUCUAGAAAGCAAAUCUUGCCCCAAUUAAUGGCACAUCUACCAUUAACAUCGAAAGAUUACAUACUAAAAAAUGUAGUUACAGAACCUCUUCUUAACAAUUGUCCUAAAUGUAAAGAUUACGUAAUUGAAGCAUUACAUAUGUAUUUACUUAAGUCAAAUGAAAUUAUCACUAUGCCACAUAGCAUCCGGACAAAACCUAAACCUGAUGGUCCUCAUAAAGUUAUUUUAGUGGUUGGUGGAAGAAGCAAUGAAGAUAACCUAAUCUUGGAUAGUACAGAAUGGUAUGACCCAAAACUCAACCGAUGGCAGUUUGGACCAAAAAUGAUUACACCACGUUACGGAGGUGGUUUAGCUGUAGUAAAAGACAAUAUUGUGUUAUAUUAUAUGGGUGCUCAUAAUUAUAAAUUGAGUCAAUUUGUCCAUGAGCUAGAUUUCUCUUCAGAACCAUCUAAUUGGAAACCAACGACUAACAUGUUAGUUAACCGAGAACAUUUAGGAGUUGGUGUCAUAAAUAAUUAUAUUUAUGCCGUUGGUGGUUUUGAUAUUUAUAGAUGGCCUUUAAAAAGUGCAGAAGUUUUUGACUGCAGAACUCAAAAAUGGCGUAUGGUAUCUAGUAUGUCUACUAGAAGAAGUGUUGUUGGGAUAGGAGUACUGAAUAAUCUUUUAUAUGCGGAGGUUUUGAUGAAAUGUGUGCACGUCGUAGUAAUGCUGGUGUUGGAGUAUUAGAUGGUGUACUGUAUUCUGUGGGUGGCGAAAAUUUAUCAGAAUGUCUCAAGAGUGUUGAAGCAUACAAACCAAGUACAGGAGUUUGGUCUAGUAUUCCGGACAUGCAUUUGAGACGUUGUGGUGCAGGAGUAGCGGUAUUAAAUGGUUUAUUGUAUGUCGUCGGUGGUUGGGACGGAACUUCUUAUUUGGAUUCUGUAGAAUAUUACAACCCUAACACUAAUACCUGGACCAUGAUCACUGCGUCAAUGAAUGUUACGAGGAGUUUAGC